rnacentral:piRNA from 1 species
AAGACCUGGUUUUGGUUAAAGAGCAAAC